AUGGCUUACCAUCUACGAUCGGCAAGCGCGCCUUCGAGCCCUCGCUCGCACAAAACAGAAGUCAAGCAGCAGCUCCAGAGCCUGAGCACAACCAUUUCUUCGCCCUUGGCGACCAUCGACACGAUGCGCGAUGGCUUGAGGAGGCUGGCAACCAUCUACAACUGCAUUGAGAAGAUGGUGUGCACACCCAGCAGCCAAGUCAGCCUUUGCCAAACCCUGCAAAGGGCGGCAGUUGAGGCAGAGCUUGGACGAUCCCUCGUCUUGCUCGAUCUCUGCAACGCCAUGCAGGAGAGCUUCAGGGAAUUGAAGAUGACUGUCCAAGAGCUCCUUUUAGUUCUCAAAAGAGGAGAAAAUGCGUCUGCUCAACUCAAGGUGUACAUCCGUCUCGCCAAGAAGGCACAAAAGCAGUUCAAGAAAAUCAGCAAGAAGACUGCUUCUGACAAGGACUGUAGGGUGGUGAUGCUGCUGGCAGAAGCAAGAGAGAUCACUAUAUUACUACUCGAAUGCACAUCCUGCCUCCUGGCGAAGCAAAUUGAGAUGCCCAAGUGGUCUCUUGUCUCAAACACAUUGCAGAAGAGCAGAGUCGUCUGCGAAGAGGAGCAACUGCAGGCACUAGAGUGCAGUAUCGGAGAUCUUGAGAGCGGAGUGGAACUUCUUUACAGGAGAUUGAUCAAGAAUAGAGUUUGCCUUCUGAAUGCUCUUAGCUCAUCCUCAUAG
rnacentral:rRNA from 1 species